rnacentral:rRNA from 1 species
GACGAACGCUGGCGGCGUGCUUAACACAUGCAAGUCGAACGAAGAGAGAUGGAAGCUUGCUUCUAUGGAUCUUAGUGGCGAACGGGUGAGUAACGCGUAAUCAACCUGCCCUUCAGAGGGGGACAACAGUUGGAAACGACUGCUAAUACCGCAUACGAUCCAAUCUCGGCAUCGAGAGUGGAUGAAAGGUGGCCUCUAUUAAUAAGCUAUCACUGAAGGAGGGGAUUGCGUCUGAUUAGCUAGUUGGAGGGGUAACGGCCCACCAAGGCGAUGAUCAGUAGCCGGUCUGAGAGGAUGAACGGCCACAUUGGGACUGAGACACGGCCCAGACUCCUACGGGAGGCAGCAGUGGGGAAUCUUCCGCAAUGGACGAAAGUCUGACGGAGCAACGCCGCGUGAGUGAUGACGGCCUUCGGGUUGUAAAGCUCUGUUAAUCGGGACGAAUGGUUCUUGUGCGAAUAGUGCGAGGAUUGACGGUA